ensembl:lncRNA
GGGGCAUGCUGCUCCAGGAGGGUCCACAUGGGGAAACACCAGGAUUGGUCAGGACCAGAGAGGAAGGGUCUAGCCAUUACUACCUGUGUGUCUUCUCUGGACAGAACACUGUAUUAGAUGCUGGGUCUUCCAUUCCACCCUAUUCUACACAUUUGGCAUUUCCCAGUAAGGCUUGGAGUGUCACGGUCCUUCCCCACAGCCUGGAGGGAUCACAAAUGGAACACCUCCAGUGGCCAUCUUUCCCACCAUGCAGAAAGAGCCUGCCUGGGAGUGAAAUAAUGGAGAAGGAAGCCAGCUCAGAGAGGCAGGAGAGAGCUCAGUGACCAGCAGGAGGUUCCCCCAAGCCUGGACUUUAAGCAAAGUUUCUGAUGUUUAUGACAGGAAGACUCUAAAAUAUACGGCUUAAAAUCAUCUUUCCCCUCCUUGUUACGCACAGCUCUUCCAUAUUUGGGGCCAAGGCUUUAUAAACACAGGCUGGUACAACGUCGGGGCACUGAAAUAAUAAACAAA